UAAGGAAUAUUGGUCAAUGGACGCAAGUCUGAACCAGCCAUGCCGCGUGCAGGAAGACGGCCUUAUGGGUUGUAAACUGCUUUUGUCAGGGAAUAAACCCCCGUACGAGUACGGGGCUGAAGGUACCUGAAGAAUAAGCAUCGGCUAACUCCGUGCCAGCAGCCGCGGUAAUACGGAGGAUGCGAGCGUUAUCCGGAUUCAUUGGGUUUAAAGGGUGCGCAGGCGGACUUAUAAGUCAGUGGUGAAAUCCUACGGCUCAACCGUGGCACUGCCAUUGAUACUGUAAGUCUUGAGUAUAGUUGAAGUGGGCGGAAUGUAGCAUGUAGCGGUGAAAUGCAUAGAUAUGCUACAGAACACCGAUAGCGAAGGCAGCUCACUAAGUUAUAACUGACGCUCAUGC
rnacentral:rRNA from 1 species